AUUGAACGCUGGCGGCAUGCUUUACACAUGCAAGUCGAACGGCAGCACGGGUGCUUGCACCUGGUGGCGAGUGGCGGACGGGUGAGUAAUACAUCGGAACGUGUCCUGAAGUGGGGGAUAACGCAUCGAAAGAUGUGCUAAUACCGCAUAAUCUCUAAGGAGAAAAGUAGGGGAUCGAAAGACCUUAUGCUUUUGGAGCGGCCGAUGUCUGAUUAGCUAGUUGGUAAGGUAAUGGCUUACCAAGGCGACGAUCAGUAGUUGGUCUGAGAGGACGGCCAGCCACACUGGGACUGAGACACGGCCCAGACUCCUACGGGAGGCAGCAGUGGGGAAUUUUGGACAAUGGGCGCAAGCCUGAUCCAGCAAUGCCGCGUGAGUGAAGAAGGCCUUCGGGUUGUAAAGGUACUCUUUCUAGUUUGAAAGAAAAAAUACAAUGACUAAUAAUACAU
rnacentral:rRNA from 1 species